UACGUAGGGUGCAAGCGUUGCCCGGAUUUAUUGGGCGUAAAGGGCGCGUAGGCGGCUCUGCACGUUCGUUGUGAAAUCGCCCGGCUCAACUGGGCGGGGUCAGCGGAUACGGCAGAGCUUGAGCAAGCUAGGGGGCAAUGGAAUUCCCGGUGUAGUGGUGGAAUGCGUAGAGAUCGGGAAGAACGCCAAGGGCGAAGGCACUCUGCUAGGCCUGAUUUCGCGACUGACACUCAGGGACGAGAGCCAGGGGAGCGAAUGGG
rnacentral:rRNA from 1 species